UUCUCUACCGAUUGAUGGCUUAGUGAGGCUUCCGGAUUGGUUUAAAGAAGGGGGCAACCUCAUCUUGGAACUGAAAAGCUAGUCAAACUUGGUCAUUUAGAGGAAGUACAAGUCGUAACAAGGUUUCCGUAGGUGAACCUGCGGAAGGAUCAUUACAGUAUUCUUUUGCCAGCGCUUAAUUGCGCGGCGAAAAACCUUACACACUAUGUUUUUUUGAUUUGAAACUUUUGCUUUGGUCUGACUUAGAAAUGAGUUGGGCCAAAGGUUUUAUACUAAAACUUCAAUUUUAUUAUUGAAUUGUUAAUUAAUUAUAUUGUCAAUUUGUUGAUUAAAUUCAAAAAUCUUCAAAACUUUCAACAACGGAUCUCUUGGUUCUCGCAUCGAUGAAGAACGCAGCGAAAUGCGAUAAGUAAUAUGAAUUGCAGAUUUUCGUGAAUCAUCGAAUCUUUGAACGCACAUUGCGCCCUAUGGUAUUCCAUAGGGCAUGCCUGUUUGAGCGUCAUUUCUCUCUCAAAUCUUCGGAUUUGGUUUUGAGUGAUACUCUUAGUCAGACUAAGCGUUUGCUUGAAAUGUAUUGGCAUGAGUGGUACUAGAUAGUGCUGAACUGUUUCAAUGUAUUAGGUUUAUCCAACUCGUUGACCAGUAUAGUAUUUGUUUAUUACACAGGCUCGGCCUUACAACAACAAACAAAGUUGACCUCAAAUCAGGUAGAAAAAGUUUGACCUCAAAUCAGGUAGGACUACCCGCUGAACUUAAGCAUAUCAAUAAGCGGAGGAAAAGAAACCAACAGGGAUUGCCUCAGUAACGGCGAGUGAAGCGGCAAAAGCUCAAAUUUGAAAUCUAGCACUUUCAGUGUUCGAGUUGUAAUUUGAAGAAGGUAACUUUGGUUUUGGCUCUUGUCUAUGUUCCUUGGAACAGGACGUCACAGAGGGUGAGAAUCCCGUGCGAUGAGAUGCCCAAUUCCAUGUAAAGUGCUUUCGAAGAGUCGAGUUGUUUGGGAAUGCAGCUCUAAGUGGGUGGUAAAUUCCAUCUAAAGCUAAAUAUUGGCGAGAGACCGAUAGCGAACAAGUACAGUGAUGGAAAGAUGAAAAGAACUUUGAAAAGAGAGUGAAAAAGUACGUGAAAUUGUUGAAAGGGAAGGGCUUGAGAUCAGACUUGGUAUUUUGCGUUCCCUUCCUUUUUGGUUGGGUUCCUCGCAGUUUACUGGGCCAGCAUCGGUUUGGAUGGUAGGAUAAUGACAUUGGAAUGUAGCUUUACUUCGGUGAAGUGUUAUAGACUUUGUUGAUACUGCCUAUCUAGACCGAGGACUGCGUCU
rnacentral:rRNA from 1 species